rnacentral:misc_RNA from 1 species
CUUAUUUUUGGUUCUGUUUAAACAUAAUAUAUAUAUAUUUAUUUAUUUUCGUUCAAGCUAAAAGUCAAAUCUUAUUGAUAUAUCACUCUUUGUACCUUUGGAAUUUUGUAGACUGGUGGAUCGGUGGUUGUGAAUAUCAAGAUUUUUAGGAGGGGUUAUGGUACACGUUGCUUACUAUAGGAGGCAGCUUAGGUGUGACUGAUUAUAUGGAUAAUUUAUGCUGCUUUAAUUCAAAGUUCUCGAAGCUUGCAGGAGGACGGUCAUCAUGUAGCUCUGGCAAAGGAAGAAGCAAUCAAGGGCCUACCAAGUAUGGCUUCAGCCUGGUUAAGGGGAAAGCUAAUCACCCCAUGGAAGAUUACCAUGUUUCUAAAUUUGUCCAAUUGCAUGGACAUGAACUAGGACUCUUUGCUAUUUAUGAUGGGCAUUUGGGAGAUAGCGUGCCUGCCUAUUUACAAAAGCAUUUGUUUUCCAAUAUCUUAAAUGAGGAGGAUUUUCGGAAUGACCCUCAUAGGGCAAUUUUAAAAGCAUAUGAGAGAACAGAUCAGGCUAUUCUUUCACACUCUCCUGAUCUUGGAAGAGGUGGCUCCACUGCCGUGACUGCCAUUCUUAUAAAUGGUCGUAAGCUAUGGGUAGCAAAUGUUGGGGAUUCGAGAGCAGUCCUUUCUAGGAGGGGUCAGGCCAUCCAGCUCUCGAUUGAUCAUGAACCAAACACCGAACGAGAUGACAUUGAAAACAGAGGUGGUUUCGUCUCAAACAUGCCAGGAGAUGUUGCUAGAGUG